GACGAACGCUGGCGGCGUGCUUAACACAUGCAAGUCGAACGAAGUGGGAACGGGUGAGUAAUACGUGGGUAACCUCCCUCCUUUUUGGGAUAAGCCUUGGAAACGGGGUCUAAACCGAAUAGCUGGGCUCGCGGCCUAUCAGCUUGUUGGUGGGGUGAUGGCCUACCAAGGCGGUGACGGGUAGCCUGCCUGAGAGGGUGACCGGCCACAUUGGGACUGAGAGACGGCCCAGACUCCUACGGGAGGCAGCAGUGGGGAAUAUUGCACAAUGGGCGAAAGCCUGAUGCAGCGACGCCGCGUGAGUGAAGAAGGUUUUCGGAUCGUAAAACUCUGUUGUUAGAGAAGCGGUAUCUAACCAGAAAGCCCCGGCUAACUACGUGCCAGCCGCCGCGGUAAUAC
rnacentral:rRNA from 1 species